UACGUAGGGGGCUAGCGUUGUCCGGAAUCAUUGGGCGUAAAGCGCGUGUAGGCGGCCCGGUAAGUCCGCUGUGAAAGUCGGGGGCUCAACCCUCGGAUGCCGGUGGAUACUGUCGGGCUUGAGUGCGGAAGAGGCGAGUGGAAUUCCUGGUGUAGCGGUGAAAUGCGCAGAUAUCAGGAGGAACACCAAUUGCGAAGGCAGCUCGCUGGGACGUUACUGACGCUGAGACGCGAAAGCGUGGGGAGCAAGCAGG
rnacentral:rRNA from 1 species